rnacentral:rRNA from 1 species
AAACGAAAUCCUUCGGGGUUUAGUGGCGCACGGGUGCGUAACGCGUGGGAAUCUGCCCUUAGGAACGGGAUAACAGCGGGAAACUGCUGCUAAUACCGUAUGAUAUCGCGAGAUCAAAGAUUUAUCGCCUAGGGAUGAGCCCGCGUAGGAUUAGCUAGUUGGUGGGGUAAAGGCCUACCAAGGCGACGAUCCUUAGCUGGUCUGAGAGGAUGAUCAGCCACACUGGGACUGAGACACGGCCCAGACUCCUACGGGAGGCAGCAGUGGGGAAUAUUGGACAAUGGGCGAAAGCCUGAUCCAGCAAUGCCGCGUGAGUGAUGAAGGCCUUAGGGUUGUAAAGCUCUUUUACCCGGGAAGAUAAUGACUGUACCGGGAGAAUAAGCCCCGGCUAACUCCGUGCCAGCAGCCGCGGUAAUACGGAGGGGGCUAGCGUUGUUCGGAAUUACUGGGCGUAAAGCGCACGUAGGCGGCUUUUUAAGUCAGAGGUGAAAGCCCGGAGCUCAACUCCGGAAUUGCCUUUGAGACUGGGAGGCUUGAACGUCGGAGAGGUGAGUGGAA